UGAGUGAAUCCUUGGAGGUAGCAGGAUCCUAUGGAUCUAGAUGGGCCUGGCACGCCGCGGUCUGCCAGCAGGCGGAUCGUCGCGAGCUGGCGGGAGACUGGUUUGGGUGACGUUCAAUGAGAUUUGGCGGGUUCUGAGGGAGGGUGGACUUACAGGAAGGUAGGGAGAGGGAGUUAAGUGUUUAUAAUUAGUAAUUUGAAGUGUGUGUGUGUGUGCGCGCGCGCGUUGGUACUGAACUUAUAGGCAGUUGUGAGCUACCAUGAUGUGGGUGCUGAUAAUGGAGUUUACAUUCUCUGCAAGUUUUAUGUGUUUUUAACUGAUGAGCCAUUUCUGUAUUCCCCCCUCCUUACUCUUACAUUUGUUUUCCUAUUUUAUGUGUUUUGUCUGCAUGUUUAUGGACUACAUGCGUGCAUUGCCCACAAAGGCCAGAAGAAGUUGUGGGAUUCCCUGGAACUGGAGCAACCAACAGUUUGUGUGCACCAUGUGGGUAAUGGGAAUCGAACCUGGGUCCUCUAUAAGACUGGCCAGUGCUCUUAACUACUGAGGUGCAUUUCUUUCGGAAUUGAUUCACAUAACUAUUAUGCUAUACUGUUUGAAGUAUUUAUUAGAAAAACAUCAGAAAGAGGCUUCAUAUGGUCUGUGAAUUGAAUCUUGGGUAUUCCGAACUUUUGGGCUAAUAUCCACUUAUCAGUGAAUUUGGACCACUUUCAUUUACAUGAAGAAAUAUCUUAGGGUUUCUUUUCAGGUAUCUUUGAGUAUCUUCUGACACUAGAAGAUCCUGUAAACUCUACAGACUUCAACAGAAUUGAAGAACCUGGACAGAGCAGAGUUACCAACAAGAGAGCCCAGGGAUAGCAUUAACAUGGUGGUUACUCAAGACCUAACUCAGCCAGGGAGACAUACCAAGGCCUAUGAGGGAGUGGCAACAUUUGGAGGUGUGGCCUUGUUGGAAUAGGUGUGACCUGGUUGGAGUAGGUGUGUCACUGUGGGUGUGGGUAUGAGACCCUCACCCUAGUUGCCUGGAAGUCAGUCUUCCACUAGCAGCCUUUGGAUGAAGACAUAGAACUCUCAGCUCUUCCUGUGCCAUGCCUGCCUGGAUACUGCCAUGCUCCCACCGUGAUGGUAAUGGACUGAACCUCUGAACCUGUAAGCCAGCCCCAAUUAAAUGUUGUUUUUUAUAAGA
rnacentral:lncRNA from 1 species